UGCUUGGGAAUUUGCCUUUGGGUGGGGGACAACAGUUGGAAACGACUGCUAAUACCGCAUAUUGUCUACGGACUAAAGAGGGCUUCGGCUCUCGCCUUUAGAGGAGCCCAAGUGGGAUUAGAUAGUUGGUGGGGUAAAGGCUCACCAAGUCAGCGAUCCCUAGCUGGUCUGAGAGGAUGAUCAGCCACACUGGAACUGAGACACGGUCCAGACUCCUACGGGAGGCAGCAGUGGGGAAUAUUGCACAAUGGGCGCAAGCCUGAUCCAGCAAUGCCGCGUGAGUGAAGAAGGCCUUCGGUU
rnacentral:rRNA from 1 species